CGAUUGAAUGUUUCGGUGAAGAUCCCGGACCACAACUUGCGCGCUUCACGGCGCUCUCGCCGCGGGAAGUUAUCUAAACCUCAACAUUUAGAGGAAGGUGAAGUCGUAACAAGGUUUCCGUAGGUGAACCUGCGGAAGGAUCAUUA
rnacentral:rRNA from 1 species